AGUCUUUGCAGUAAUGCAAGGCAUACGGCUCAGUAACACGUAGUCAACUUACCCUAUGGACGAGGAUAAUCUCGGGAAACCGAGCAUAAUACUCGAUAGAUCAUAAUGCCUGGAAUGGUUUAUGGUUGAAAUGAUUCGUCGCCAUAGGAUGGGACUGCGGCCUAUCAGCUUGUUGGUGAGGUAAUGGCCCACCAAGGCGAUUACAGGUACGGGCUCUGAGAGGAGAAGCCCGGAGAUGGGUACUGAGACAAGGACCCAGGCCCUAUGGGGCGCAGCAGGCGAGAAAACUUUGCAAUGUGCGAAAGCACGACAAGGUUAAUCCGAGUGAUUUCUGCUAAAGGAAUCUUUUGUUAGUUCUAAAAAUACUAGUGAAUAAGGGGUGGGCAAGUUCUGGUGUCAGCCGCCGCGGUAAAACCAGCACCUCAAGUGGUCAGGAGGAUUAUUGGGCCUAAAGCAUCCGUAGCCUGUUCUAUAAGUUUGCGGUUAAAUCUAUACGCUCAACGUAUAGGCUGCCGUAAAUACUGUAGAACUAGGGAGUGGGAGAGGUAGACGGUACUCGAUAGGAAGGGGUAAAAUCCUUUGAUCUAUUGAUGACCACCUGUGGCGAAGGCGGUCUACCAGAACACGUUCGACGGUGAGGGAUGAAAGCUGGGGGAGCAAACCGGAUUA
rnacentral:rRNA from 1 species